rnacentral:piRNA from 1 species
UCUGAAUCUUCUAUGACUAGAGUUAUGGAC